rnacentral:rRNA from 1 species
AUUGAACGCUGGCGGAAUGCUUUACACAUGCAAGUCGAACGGCAGCACGGACUUCGGUCUGGUGGCGAGUGGCGGACGGGUGAGUAAUGUAUCGGAACGUGCCCAGUCGGGGGGGAUAACGUAGUGAAAAUUACGCUAAUACCGCAUACGAUCUAUGGAUGAAAGCGGGGGAUCGCAAGACCUCGCGCGAUUGGAGCGGCAGAUAUCAGAUUAGGUAGUUGGUGGGGUAAAGGCCCACCAAGCCAACGAUCUGUAGCUGGUCUGAGAGGCCGACCAGCCACACUGGAACUGAGACACGGUCCAGACUCCUACGGGAGGCAGCAGUGGGGAAUUUUGGACAAUGGGCGAAAGCCUGAUCCAGCCAUUCCGCGUGCAGGAUGAAGGCCCUCGGGUUGUAAACUGCUUUUGUACAGAACGAAAAGGUUUCUACUAAUACUAGGAGCUCAUGACGGUACUGUAAGAAUAAGCACCGGCUAACUACGUGCCAGCCGCCGCAGUAA